rnacentral:rRNA from 1 species
UACAGAGGUCCCGAGCGUUGUUCGGAUUCACUGGGCGUAAAGGGUGCGUAGGCGGCCAAGUAAGUCUGAUGUGAAAUCUCCAGGCUCAACCUGGAAAUGGCAUUGGAGACUGCCUGGCUGGAGGCUUGGAGGGGGGACUGGAAUGCUUGGUGUAGCAGUGAAAUGCGUAGAGAUCAAGCGGAACACCUGUGGCGAAGGCGAGUCCCUGGACAAGUCCUGACGCUGAGGCACGAAAGCUAGGGGAGCAAACAGG